rnacentral:rRNA from 1 species
GACGAACGCUGGCGGCGUGCCUAAUACAUGCAAGUCGAGCGGAGUAAAAAGCGUGCUUGCACGGUUUUUAUUUAGCGGCGAACGGGUGAGUAACACGUAGGUAACCUGGCCAUAAGACAGGGAUAACGCACGGAAACGUGAGCUAAAACCAGAUAGGCAUUUUCCACGCAUGAGGGAGAUGAGAAAGGCGGAGCAAUCUGCCGCUUAUGGAUGGACCUGCGUCGCAUUAGCUAGUUGGAGUGGUAAAGGCACACCAAGGCGACGAUGCGUAGCCGACCUGAGAGGGUGAGCGGCCACACUGGGACUGAGACACGGCCCAGACUCCUACGGGAGCAGCAGUAGGGAAUCUUCCGCAAUGGACGAAAGUCUGACGGAGCAACGCCGCGUGAGUGAAG